rnacentral:lncRNA from 1 species
UGUACCUUUCUUAGAAUUAGAUAAAACCAUCAGUUUAGGUGUAUAUAAAUACAAGGAAUCAAUGAUGUUGUGACUGGAGGGGAAAAUUAAAAUUCAUGAGAAAGUUUUCAUCACUGUUUCUGCAUUUGUACACAUCGGUGAUUAAGCACGUGAAGCAACUCCUCUUGGUCUCUUCCAUAAAAUUUCACCUUGCCACUGCACAAAAAAAAAGCUUUCACUAUCUUGCAAUCUUGAAGUUUCUUCGGAAGCCUGCAACCUGAAAUGAAGGUUAUCGCUCUAAAAUAGCAUGGUCAUAUUAGUGACCGUGCAAGCUUCAAGAUUAAAAACUGAUAAGCAGCCCCUUCAAAUAAUUGUGAAUGUAAGAGAAAAUGUGUGAAUGUUUUUUGCCUUUAUCACGUCCCUACAACUUGACCAUGCUGAUUUACGACCUGCUUCCUUGAUGGAUGGAGAGCGUGUAUUUUGUGCAGCACAAACGAAGUAACUACCCAAGGGCGCUCUACAGAGUGAACAUGAAAGAUGUAUAUAACAAAUGAACCAACUAUAAAAAAUUCUUUCAUGCCCAUUUUCUUCUUAAUCUCUGAUGCCCAUAUUCUAGCGAUGUAAACUACUCUCAUUUAAAGCAUAGUCAGAGAACUGCUGGCAUACAAUAAAAGUUUACGAAGUCAAUGCAAAACUAUCAUAUCAGCAAAAGGCAUGCUUAUAAGGAACAGUACCAUCGAAGCGUGUGAUCAUGGUUGCAUCAGUUCCAUGAGCUUCCGUUUGCUUUCCCUGGAAUAUUGGAAAUUAAAAGGUAAGGCUAAUUGGAUUAAAUGUAAGAUGUUGCCAUAUAUAUUAUUCAGAAUAAAAAGAAUCUCAUGUUUAACCUUGUCAAGUUGCAGACUACACGAAAAGAAGGCUCGGUAGGUUCUGUUCGGGCUCUUCUAAUGCCUCUUGUGGCUAAACACUCAGACAUCAAGGAAAAAGGACUUGUACCGCUGAUCUGAUUGGUAAUAACAACCAUACAUGUCUAGAAUCCUGACACUGUUUUUAUGUCAAUACAGUUGAAGAUAUAAGAUAGAAUAAGGAGGAAUAAGUUACUCAUGUCAGAGGAUAUGACUUCCAUCGAUAAAGGUGCGGCUCGAUCUUGAAGCCUGAAUAAGGGCCGCCUUGGGCUGACUGCCCUUGCCUAUUUCAACUGAAACACCAUCACCAUGUUUUACAACAACAACGACAUUGUCGUCCAAGAGGUCCAUAUCCUCAACAUGUCCUUCUUCGAGAUUGAUGAUCUCAUCACAAGCAACCUUGAGCCAUCCAUGGCGCUAGCUGGUUGUAGUGCCGUCCUGCGGCUGAUG